rnacentral:rRNA from 1 species
UGAGGAAUAUUGGUCAAUGGAGGCAACUCUGAACCAGCCAUGCCGCGUGCAGGAAGAAUGCCCUAUGGGUUGUAAACUGCUUUUAUUUGGGAAGAAACCCCUUUACGUGUAGAGGGCUGACGGUACCAAAGGAAUAAGGACCGGCUAACUCCGUGCCAGCAGCCGCGGUAAUACGGAGGGUCCAAGCGUUAUCCGGAAUCAUUGGGUUUAAAGGGUGCGCAGGCGGUAGCGUAAGUCAGUGGUGAAAGCCUACAGCUCAACUGUAGAACUGCCAUUGAUACUGCAUUACUUGAAUAUAGUUGAAGUAGGCGGAAUGUGUAGUGUAGCGGUGAAAUGCUUAGAUAUUACACAGAACACCGAUAGCGAAGGCAGCUUACUAAACUAAAAUUGACGCUCAUGC